CUGGUUCUCCCCGAAAUAGCUUUAGGGCUAGCCUCGAGUGAAGAGUCUUGGAGGUAGAGCACUGAUUGGGCUAGGGGCCCUCAUCGGGUUACCGAACUCAGUCAAACUCCGAAUGCCAAUGACUUAUGCUCGGGAGUCAGACUACGAGUGAUAAGAUCCGUGGUCAAGAGGGAAACAGCCCAGAUCACCAGCUAAGGUCCCAAAGUGUACGUUAAGUGGAAAAGGAUGUGGAGUUGCUUAGACAACCAGGAUGUU
rnacentral:rRNA from 1 species